UUCCGGUUGAUCCUGCCGGAGGCUACUGCUAUUGGAAUCCGAUUAAGCCAUGCGAGUCUAAAGGACUUCGGUCCUUGGCGGACGGCUCAGUAACACGUGGAGAAUCUGCCCUCAGGAGGGGGAUAACCCCGGGAAACUGGGAAUAAUACCCCAUAGGUCUAGGAUGCUGGAAUGCUUCUAGGCUGAAAGCUCCGGCGCCUGAGGAUGGCUCUGCGGCUUAUCAGGUUGUAGUGAGGGUAACGUCCUCACUAGCCUAUGACGGGUACGGGCCCUGAGAGGGGAAGCCCGGAGAUGGACUCUGAGACACGAGUUCAGGCCCUACGGGGCGCAGCAGGCGCGAAAACUCCGCAAUGCUCGAAAGAGUGACGGGGGGAUUCCAAGUGCCUACGCUCAGCGUAGGCUGUUCAGAUGCCUAAAAAGCAUCUGGAGUAAGGGCUGGGUAAGACGGGUGCCAUCUGUGGCAGCAGCCGAAAAUUUGGCUUGCUACUGCAAGGCAUAAGCCGCCGCGGUAAUACCCGCAGCUCGAGUGGUAGUCGAUUUUAUUGGGCCUAAAGCGUCCGUAUCCGGUCUGGUAAAUGCUUGGGUAAAUCGUCUGGCUUAACCAGAUGAAUUCCGGGUAGACUACCAGACUUGGGACCGGUUGAGGAAGAGGGUACUUCA
rnacentral:rRNA from 1 species